UCCUUGGUGUUUUUAAACACCAUAAAUAUUUUGUUUUUAUAAAUAU
rfam:Trichobilharzia regenti genome assembly, scaffold: TRE_scaffold0014658